GGGGGAUGGAAACAAUUUUAUUGGGGGGAAUGUUAAAACAACCAUAUACAAUUCGAACAAAUACAACAUAACACAGUUUGUUCCCCAGGUUUUCUAAUUACAGUAUUUACAGGUUUAAUAAGGCACUGGUUCUCAAAAAAGAACACAAAUUAGUUUCUUAGUCUCUACAUUGACAACCUUUUCUUUAAUAGAAAUAACUUUGUGCUAGAGAAAGAAUAGCAGUUGCUAGAUGGCAUCUUUUCUUUUUCCACUUAUAUAUGCCAUCUCACCUAUGCCAGUAAGAAACUAAGAUACACUUCCUUGAAUGAUUUACAUUUGAAAAGUGGAUUUCUAGACCCGUGGGCAUUGAGGCCAAAAUAACCUUUACCAAGCCCUCAUCAAUGUGCCCUUUGAAGCUACCAAAAUAUGGAAGUGACAUUAAAAGGCCACACCUGGCAAAAUAAACAGACUAACCUGCAGUCACUGCAGGUGCUGAAACCUUAAUAAUGACACGCUGAGUGUUGCAGGGAGUCACUCAUUUGGGCAUUCUGACUCAAAUGUCACAGUGCUCGAACAAAACACCUCCACACUUGCCUUAGGCUCUUUUUUGGCCUUAGGAAUAGCCCUUCACAAUAGAUUACAGUGGACAGGAGAUUUGAGGGACAAAAUCUGGUCUUGGGAGAAAAUAGACAGGCACUAGUUACACAACCACAGACUGUUUGCUUUCUCAUUGUGUGUCUCCUCAUAUAUAUAUAUAUUUAUAUAUUUAUAUAUUUUCCUAUACAGCACCGUUGCAGUGAUUUGUCAUUUAUGCAUUUUCAUAAAUAAAUAUUAUGUUUUAUUUAGUGCUUUUUCAUCCAUAAUAGUUUACUCUUAAUCCACAUACUGGAGCUAUUCCAGACUUGCAACUGAAUAUAUAUAUAUAUAUAUUUAUAUAUAUAAAAACACAUAAACUUGAACAUUUAACAUACACACUUUAUGUGAUCUAUCAACCAAUAUCUUAGACUCUUUUCUUCUGGACCAAAAAAAGGUAAGAUUUGCUCAGGAAACCAAUGACUGGCCCUUUCUCCUGCAACACACUGAUGGCAGGUGCCAGGGACAUUCAUUGCAUGCCUCGUGCUCCCAGCUGGCAAAGCACCCUCCAAAACACUCCUGGGGAGAGAGCCCUGCUAAUUAAAAAAAAAAAAAAAAAAAA
rnacentral:lncRNA from 1 species